AACGGCGUCGUGGAUUCGGCGUGAUCAAGGGAUUCGAGGAUUCGGAUCGAAAGCUUCAUGGAUUCGAAGUGGUAGAGCUUCGUGGAUUCGGAGUGGAGGCGUUUCGUGGAUUCGGGAUGUGGCGUUCGUGGAUUCGAACGUGAGGGCGUGGACAACCCGGAGGAUUGCGCGAGAUUCAUAAGAGGGUAAGAGAGGUCGAGUCCGUGGAGUCGGUAAUCACCUUGUAAUCUUUUCUCUUAGUGAAUUAUUUUUUCGCGUGUUGGUCCUGUAGGUUUUUCUUCAAGUUGGAGUUUUUCCACGUAAAUCUCGGUGUGU
rnacentral:lncRNA from 1 species